GACGAACGCUGGCGGCGUGCUUAACACAUGCAAGUCGAACGGAAAGGCCCUGCCUUUGUGGGGUGCUCGAGUGGCGAACGGGUGAGUAACACGUGAGUAACCUGCCCUUGACUUUGGGAUAACUUCAGGAAACUGGGGCUAAUACCGGAUAGGAGCUCCUGCUGCAUGGUGGGGGUUGGAAAGUUUCGGCGGUUGGGGAUGGACUCGCGGCUUAUCAGCUUGUUGGUGGGGUAGUGGCUUACCAAGGCUUUGACGGGUAGCCGGCCUGGGAGGGUGACCGGCCACAUUGGGACUGGGAUACGGCCCAGACUCCUACGGGAGGCAGCAGUGGGGAAGAUUGCACAAUGGGCGGAAGCCUGAUGCAGCAACGCCGCGUGCGGGAUGACGGCCUUCGGGUUGUAAACCGCUUUCGCCUGUGACGAAGCGUGAGUGACGGUAAUGGGUAAAGAAGCACCGGCUAACUACGUG
rnacentral:rRNA from 1 species